rnacentral:rRNA from 1 species
CGUCUUUGAAUAUAGGAAAGAUCUAACCUGCCCACUGAAAAUUUAAAGGGCUGCGGUAUUUUGACCGUACAAAGGUAGCAUAAUAAUUAGUUUUUUGAUUGAAAGCUGGAAUGAAUGGUUGGACGAGAAAAUAACUGUCUCUAUUUAAUUUGAAUAUAAUUUUAUUUUUGAGUUAAAAAGCUUAAAUGAUUUUAAAAGACGAGAAGACCCUAUAGAGUUUAAUAUUUUAUAAAUAGUUUAUAGUUUUUAAGGAUUAAUUAUUGAUUUUUUAUAAUUUAUUUUGUUGGGGUGAUGGGAAGAUUAAACUAACUCUUUUUUUUCUUUAACAUUUAUAAUUGAAAUUUUGAUCCAUUUUUUAUGAUUACAAGAAUAAAUUACCUUAGGGAUAACAGCGUAAUCUCUUUUAAGAGUUCUUAUCGAAAAGGGGGGUUGCGACCUCGAUGUUGGAUUAAAGUUAAUUUUUGGUGUAGGAGCUGGAAAAUUAAGUCUGUUCGACUUUUGAAACUUUACAUGAUCUGAGUUUAGACCGGCGUGAGCCAGGUUGGUUUCUAUCUUUAUGGAUUUAAAAUGUUUUAGUACGAAAGGACCAAAUAUUUAAUAAAUUUAUUUUUUUAUUGAAUAAUAUUAAUGUUAUUUUGGCAGAUUAGUGCAAUAGAUUUAGAAUCUUUUUAUGUAAGUUUUUACAAGUAAUAUUUGUUUAUAUUUGAUGUUGUUUUAUUAUUGAUUAAUAUAUUAGUUUUGAUUGUUUGUGUUUUAGUAGGGGUAGCAUUUUUUACUUUAUUAGAGCGAAAGGUUUUAGGGUAUAUUCAGAUUCGAAAGGG